rnacentral:rRNA from 1 species
CCCUUAGACGUUCUGGGCCGCACGCGCGCUACACUGACGAAGGCAACGAGCUUUCCUUUACCGAAAGGUACGUGUAAUCUUUUGAAACUUCGUCGUGCUGGGGAUAGAUCCUUGCAAUUUUUGAUCUUAAACGAGGAAUGCCUAGUAAGCGCAAGUCAUCAACUUGCGUUGAUUACGUCCCUGCCCUUUGUACACACCGCCCGUCGCUACUACCGAUUGAAUGGUUUAGUGAGGCCUUCGGAUCCGCGACUCGUUUGUGGAGAAGUUGGACAAACUCAGUCAUUUAGAGGAAGUAAAAGUCGUAACA